GUGAAACUUUAACUUGUAAGGAGAAAAUGGCAGAAAGAUGACAACAUUGCUAAGGAUUUUCUAACUACCUGGCUUUAUGUCUAGUUAGUUUUUAUUUGUGAUUGGUGUCAUACAAAAAUGUGGUGUUUGCAUAUUUUGAUGGAUUUGUAAGAAUAAUUUUCGGAGAAAGUCGGACAGAGAUAAGGACGGACACGGGGAGGAAGUGGAUGCACCUGUACUUCCGGUAAGACAGACAUGUGCUGUAUUGGCGAUGGCGUGAAACUUUAACUUGUAAGAAGAAAAUGGCAGAAAGAGGACAACAUUGCUAAGGAUUUUCUAACUACCUGGCCACCCGGACCGCGGAGGCUGUUUUGGACCGAAAGACUAAGCAUGGCGGGACAAACAUGGAGAGCUGCUGUUGGAGGUGGCGUUGUGGCUGGGCUGCUGUUCACAGAAGUUCCAGUGACACAGGUCACGUUGCAGCGACCAACAUGGAUCAGCUGUUGGAAGGCACCUUGUGGCUGAGCUGAUGUUCACAGUAGUUCCAGUAACACAGAGAUGUAAGGAACAUAAAUGUCCGUGUCCACCAUGUUGUCCUGGACCUCUGGCAGUGAUGAUCUGGCGUCCGCUCCAGGCUGCUGCACCCUCCGCUCCCCUGCUGAAGUACACACAGACUGACUGAUUCCCUGGAAGUGCUGCUGCUGCUGCUGCUGCUGGCGACUGAGAUGGCGCCCCCUCUCCACCUGCUGUGGUCCUCCACUACAGUUGUAUCGCCUGCUCCAGUGUAUGUCCACUUGAAGAUGUAUCUGCAGCCGUCUGGACGUUGAAGCCUGCAGAAGUGAAGCUGAGGAAAUGGACAAUUAAAAUGGAAAUGACUAGGGGAAGGACUGGAAUGGACAUGGAGUGUUGUUUGUUUGUACAUGGUGUUGUUUCCAUUAAAUGUCCAAAGGAUGUUUUGUCUCUCAGUGUUUUUUUUUCUGUGCGAAACAGUCCAAAUGGCUGUUUGAGUGUGUACAGUUGCCGACCCUGAUGUAGGUCAGAACAGUGUAGUGAUGAGGAGGUCCUGAGAAGUAGGUGAAAUGUUUGCGAAAGUUGAAAAUGAAUGCACUCAGUGCCAUAGUGUAGGUAGUGACUGUAUGUCAUGUGGUUAAAAUAGUGUGGUUG